GAAAAUUAAAUCUUUUCAGAAUUAAAAAAAGGUUUCCAGAAAUGCUAAAAUACACAUUAUUUUUCAUAGUGCAUUUCUCUUUUGUUGCCUUAAAGUUACAUUAAAAACAUUUUAAGUUAUAUUUAAAAAUCAAUGGAUGGGAUGAAUUAAAACUAAAAAGUUUCUUCUUAGCAAAAGAAACAAUCUGUGAGGUGAAUAGAGAGUCUACAUCAUAGUAGAAAAUCUUUUCCCCUCACACAUCAGAUAGAGCACUAAUCUCUAGGGUAUUAAAAAAACUCACAAAGCUAAACACCAAUAAAACAACAAACAAAUAAAAACAAAUAACUCAAUCAAUAAGUGGGCCGAGGACCUAAACAGACACUUCUCAGAAGAUGAUAUACAAUCAAUCAAUAAAUAUAUGAAAAAAAAGUUAAACAUCUCUAGCAAUUAGAGAAAUACAAAUCAAAACUAUUUCAUCUCACUCCAGUCAGAAUGGAAGCUAUCAUGAAUGAAAACAACAAUAAGUGUUGGCAAGGAUGUGGGGAAAACAGGUACACUCAUACACUGCUAGUGGGACUGCAAAUUGGUACAGCCAAUAUGGAAAACAGUAUGAAGAUUCCUUGGAAAAUUGGGGAUGGAACCACCAUUUCACAUAGCUAACCACCUAGGGAGGAAUAGACAAACUCUAGAUAGGGCAGAAGGGUAGGAGGGGAAGGAAGGGGGCAUGAGGAUAGGAAAGGUAGCAGAAUACAACAGUUACUAAUAGGGCAUUAUGUAAAAAUGUGGAUGUGUAACCGAUGUGAUUCUGCAAUCUGUAUUUGGGGUAAAAUUGGGAGUUCAUAACCAACUUGAAUCUAAUGUAUGAAAUAUGAUAUGUCAAGAGCUUUAUAAUGUUUUGAAC
rnacentral:lncRNA from 1 species